CGCCCCCACCCCCCACCCCCAAGUGCAUGCAUAGGCAUGUAGUGGGACGCUUUACUUACUGUUCUUUGAAGUUGUUUAAAUGUGGAUGAAGUUUUACUAUUAAGAAAAAAUGGCUUGGUUCUGACAUGUGAAAUAGGUAGAAUGAUGGUAGGAAUUUCUGGCAUGUGACUAAUUCUUUGUGUCCUGUUGUGAAACUGUGAAUUGUUAAACAUUUCUUAAUUUUAUUUUCAGCUUGAAGAUUCAAAGACAUAUGAAUACAGGGAACCAGAACAGGCACCCAUAUCACCUCCAUAUGCCCACUACUUGUCUCUACAACAUGAUCACAAAAUCCACACUCUCCAUUAACAUACUUCUUCCAAUCGUGUGUUGUACGUGCAUUUGGAUGGUGUGAAGCGCUGUGUAGUCUGUAUACCUCAAGGCCAUCGAGAUUGAGCUACAUCCGAAUAACACGAUCAGGGAGUGUAGCCUUUGCCUGAACUGGUCAUAGAAUUUUUAAUAUAAUGUUUAUAAAUUUAUUUGGUACACAGUAUUGUAAAUUCACACUGUUAUAUUAUCCACUUAAAAUGAUGUAAGUUUUCAUUACUAGUAUCAUCAGUGGUGUAAUGAUGCAUGAACUAUGGAUACAGUUGGCAUCAGUUAUAGUGAUAGCACUUGUAAAUUAUAUUUUUGUUCUAGUAAACAUUGAUUCUAAUAAAUGAAAAUCAUUGGACUAUUACAUAUCUUGUACAGUAAUGUAUGCAUUGAAAAUAAAUGUACAAUUUAUUACAUAAUGUAA